rnacentral:rRNA from 1 species
CCCUACGGGGUGCGGGGUAUGGGGUGCGGGGUAUGGGGUACGAGGUAUGAGGUUCGGGGUGCGGGGUGUGAAUACGGACAACGAAGGGAUCAUAUGAUUCUCAACGAGCUUUCAUCUUUUCUUUUGCAAUUUGCCACCAUUUUAAAUAACUUUAUGGAAAACCCGGAAUCCCUGGCGGAUUCAGAAUAGUUACAGGUUAUGCAAACGAUCCGGGCAGUCAUUAUUGAUGAUGAGAGAUAUGCAUGCGAACGCCUGAAAAAACUGCUUAUCCCCUAUUCCAAGAUUCAGGUAACAAAUAUUUUCACUGACUCCGGAUCAGGAUUGAAAUACAUCCUUGAAGAAAAACCCGAUCUUGUUGUUCUUGAUAUUGAGAUGGAAAAAGGCGCUUCGGCCUUUGAUAUGAUCGGGAGC